UACGUAGGGUGCAAGCGUUGUCCGGAAUUAUUGGGCGUAAAGAGCUCGUAGGCGGUUUGUCGCGUCUGCUGUGAAAACUCGGGGCUUAACCCCGGGCCUGCAGUGGGUACGGGCAGACUAGAGUGCGGUAGGGGAGACUGGAAUUUACGGUGUAGCAGUGAAAUGCGUAGAGAUCGUAAGGAAGACCAGUGGCGAAGGCGAGUCGCUGGAAAGCUGCUGACGCUGAGGCACGAAGGCCAGGGGAGCAAACGGG
rnacentral:rRNA from 1 species